UAAAAAAGUCGGAUGGCAAGCAAAAGAUAGAUAAAAUCCAUCACUUAUAACAAAAGCAAAAAGAGAAAUGAAUUAGGGUUUCGAAACCCUAAGCCAUUUCUUGCCUUCCACUUUGCAUUCGAACUUGGCAAGAGAACAGGGGCGCCACCAUUAGGGAUUUGGAGCCACGAUUAGCAAGGGGGGAAAGGUGCUAUUGAGAGGGAUUUUGAGCCUGCAACUCUUUAGUUGUGAUCUUCAUUGAACGAGGUAUUCUAUGUGUAUUCUCUUCCCUUUUUGGAGAGUAUGUAAAAGAAAUAGCGACCCAAAGAUGGGUUUUUUGUGGCUAGGUUAUGAGGCUCAUUUUGAUUUCCUACGAAAUCACUAGUUUUGAGCUACAAGGUUCAAAAUAUUUGAGUCAAUCUGAGGGAUAUGACACCCUCCUUGUUUCAAACAUCAGUUCUUAAGAAUUUUAUUGUAUCCCUACCCCCAAAUGAUGGGGUUCUACCUGCAUUUGUGUAUUACCAUUUGAAUAAUUAUAUGCUCUGUAAGAUGCUUAUAAGCUCGGCCUCUUGUAUGGUUUGAGGUCAAAACCCUCACGGCCGCCAUAGCUUGAAUGCUUUUCCUUCCUUCAUAUGCAAUGGAGAUCUUGUAUCUUUGGAUUGUAUUUGCAGAUCUGAAAAAGAAACCAAAACCCGAUAGGGUUUGGGGGGUUGUAGGCUAUUUCUUGUUUUUGGAACUCAUGGGGUUUUGACCCCCACUACUUGCAUCUGACAGAUCGGCCCUCCUUAUUUAACUGCAAUAUUCUGAACUUUAAAAGGGAUUUUGUAUGAUGAUAACUUUGUAAAUGAGGACCCUUGUGUGGAAAAAUACCCAGAUGGGUAUUACAUGUUGUAACAAAAUCAGAAUUUGCUUUCUUAUUUCUUUGUAAUAUGAUCUCUUCUGGAGCACUAUUGAUUGCAUUUAGAUGCCCAAAAGCUAUUCUUAUGA